UGGGGAAUUUUGCACAAUGGGGGAAACCCUGAUGCAGCGACGCCGCGUGAUUUAGAAGGCCUUCGGGUUGUAAAAAUCUUUUUUAUGGGAUGAAAAUGACAGUACCAUAAGAUUAAGGUCCGGCUAAAUACGUGCCAGCAGCCGCGGUAAUACGUAUGGACCGAGCGUUGUCCGGAAUCAUUGGGCGUAAAGGGUACGUAGGCGGCCCAGUAAGUUAGAAGUGAAAUAAUAUAGCUCAACUAUAUAAAGCUUUUAAAACUGCUAGGCUUGAGAGAUGGAAGGGAAAGUGGAAUUCCUAGUGUAGCGGUGAAAUGCGCAGAUAUUAGGAAGAAUACCGGUGGCGAAGGCGACUUUCUGGUCAUCAUCUGACGCUGAGGUACGAAAGCGUGGGUAGCAAACAGG
rnacentral:rRNA from 1 species